GGAGUAUUAGGGCCACACGUGAAGAAAAAAAAUAUUUUUGCCGUGACGAGAUUAAAAUCGACACGUCGACUUUAAAGUCAUCAUGUCGACAUUAAACUCGAAAUGUCGAGAAUAAAGUUGAAAUGUCAUGUCGACUUUAAUCUCGACGUGUCGACUUUAAACUCGAAAUGUCGAGAAUAAAUGUAGUGAUAUGAGGCAAUACGGCUAUUUGGACACAGACUUCUAUUACACCACGCCCACUCCGGCCCGUUCGCCAAUCAUUGCUUGUCGAGGGGAUAAAAGUAGGCCGUGCCCUUCCUCCUGAACUCUCGCUUCCUGCCUCUUCGGCCCGUCCAUUUCCGGGUUGUUGCCCUCGCCGCUCACCUCAGAGCACAGGUAGGCUCACCUCCGCAUGCUGUGUUGCGUACAUUCAUCAGCGGUUUACUAAAACUCAAACCCUUACUAUAAUAGAUCUGCCGAGAUCCUCAUCACAAUCGGGGCAAUGUAUUGGGGUCGUUUACCGCCGCUGACCAGAGCAUAGUCUGCUUGUCGCAUGGUGCGUGGUGGCUGUCUCCCCCGCUACGCCGAUACUCUUCACCCCUCUCCCUCUUUAGAAGGGACGCAUAAUGAUCAGACUGAGAACCGGGAUUAAGAACGCAAAACCGAGAAUACCUUCCUUGGUUAUUUACUGAUUGUCGCUUAAUUGUCAUUGCUGCUGCUUCGUUGCCACUUCCGCCGACUUGGUUCGGGGCUCUGUCUACUGCCCCUGGUCGGCUUGCCUCCAGCUGCUAGCCCUGUGGCCCGCUGCUGCUGUGCGUGGUGCGGUGUGUGCCUGACCUGUGUGGCUGCCGCUCGGGUGUGCCGCUGCGAGCUCCGCCUGGACUCACCCCUGGUUUGGAGUGUGUGUGUGUGCGUGUGUGUGUGCGUUUUGAGUUAAUCUCUUAAGUUUUGUGUCGUUCAUUUAAUUUUCAUUUGGAAGGGAAACUUCUCAAUCUGAGCCCUUGUUUAUUUUUGUUUAAAACAUAUGUUAUGUUUACUUAUUGAGUUGAUAUCUCUGGUCCGAGGCUUUUUAAUUUUCUUGUUUUCUUUCAUUUUGAGUGAUUUUUGGUUAUUGCAAAUUAAUACUCUUUAGUUUAUUGAUUUGAUUUGUUAUGUGAUAUUGUCUGUCAGUUGUGAGCCCUCCUAACUGUGCCCCUUUCUCGUAGAGCUGAAGGCCGACGGUGGUGGCGGUGGUCCUCCUGGGUGGUGGUGGUGAUCCUUCGUGUGCGUGUGCUUUGUUUUAGAUUUUAUUCAUUUGGACUUCACGUUUUUGCUGUGUGUGUGAGGUGCCCUUGUUUCUUUCGUUGGAUUUAAUUUCCCCCUGACGACCACUCUCCCAGCCGGUAAGCCUCAGCUUGCACCUACGUCCUUCCCCAGUUGGGCUUACUUCUCUUUUUCAUCUUUUAUGCCAAACUGUGUUUAUAAUAAUAAAAUGCUUUGUUAUAUUUGAACUCUGUCUCCCGCCCUCCCUGAUUGAACGAACCUGAUAGUCUUAUCGUCAGAGGUGACAAUUAUACUCGUAGUGUAUAGGUCCUUGGGCCCUAACCCAAGGUGGCGUUGUCGGUAACAGAGAAAAUACUCUGACAUAAAAUAGU